UACAGAGGGGGCAAGCGUUGUUCGGAAUUACUGGGCGUAAAGGGCGCGUAGGCGGCCUGUUAAGUCGAACGUGAAAUCCCCGGGCUCAACCCGGGAACUGCGUCCGAUACUGGCAGGCUUGAAUUCGGGAGAGGGAUGCGGAAUUCCAGGUGGUAGCGGUGAAAUGCGUAGAUAUCUGGAGGAACACCGGUGGCGAAGGCGGCGAUCCUGGACCG
rnacentral:rRNA from 1 species